GAUGAACGCUGGCGGCGUGCUUAACACAUGCAAGUCGAACGGUGAAGCAGGAGCUUGCUCUUGUGGAUCAGUGGCGAACGGGUGAGUAACACGUGAGCAACCUGCCCCUGACUCUGGGAUAAGCGCUGGAAACGGCGUCUAAUACUGGAUAUGUGAUGUGACCGCAUGGUCUGCAUCUGGAAAGAAUUUCGGUUGGGGAGGGGCUGGCGGCCUAUCAGCUUGUUGGGGAGGUAAUGGCUCACCAAGGCGUCGACGGGGAGCCGGCCUGAGAGGGUGACCGGCCACACUGGGACUGAGACACGGCCCAGACUCCUACGGGAGGCAGCAGUGGGGAAUAUUGCACAAUGGGCGGAAGCCUGAUGCAGCAACGCCGCGUGAGGGAUGACGGCCUUCGGGUUGUAAACCUCUUUUAGCAGGGAAGAAGCGAAAGUGACGGUACCUGCAGAAAAAGCACCGGCUAACUACGUGCCAGCCGCCGCGGUAA
rnacentral:rRNA from 1 species